GUGAAAAUGGCCCUCUGUUGUCCAGCUUGUGAAUUGGCCUGUUUGCCUUCGUCUCCAGAGAUUGCAAACACUAUCGCCGAUGUCAGUCGCUGCUAAAAAGGACGGAUAUGAAAGCGCUUUCAACCUGCCCCUUCGUGCUGUUCAGAUAAGACCUCGCCGUAAAGAGACAUGUGUCACCGAGAUUUAUUUCCUUCAUGCAGUCUGAACCACUCCUCUUUCUCGACUCCGCGGGCGGAGCAGUACGACAGAACGCCGGCAAGGCACAGCGGUGCGGAUUCCAUCUGUCGCGAACGGGUGAAGACCUCAUGCGUGAGCUUCACUGAACCGGUGGUUCGAGCCGUAUACAUGCGAAAUGGCCCUUCAUUACCGGUUGAAAUAAUUAGAUCGAGUCGCAAUCCUAAUGCAACAAUCCAACAAUCCUAGCCAAUCCUGUGACAAACGCCUGCGGUUUGUUGGUUAUCGCAAGUUUCUCCAUAUCAUUUGCAGCCGAAGGCUUGUCGAUUGAAGGGCUUAACUUCCGCCACGCCGAACUGUCGUCGCGCCAUCCGUAGGAGGUAAAAAUGAUGAUCCAUUUCUGUGAGAAGAACGGAGCUUGCGUAAUGUCUUCUCAUAAAUAUCUAUAUUUCUCAGCUAUAUCUGAAACUGCCGCGUGGGUUGUUUACAACACAUUGUCAUCUAGGCGAAACAUGUAGAGGCGACGGCCUAUAGCGGCGUUUUCUGAAAAUUAUAAAGCACCAACGUAUGUUACAAGCAUCGCGACUCGUAGCUCGAGCCAAUACAGUGUAACACUAAAAGGCAGCAGGCAUUUACACCACCGCCAGGAAUCGUCAAACGAUCCGGGUGCCAACUGCCACGCAGUGGCGCUCAAGUUCCGCCGAUACAUUUCUGAAAGCAAGUGCACUGCGCCACGCACUCGCUCGGUUUUCAAUUCGGAGAGAGGAGCACGCUGCAGGUGCGCGACACAUGUCCUCGGAAACCAGAGCCUGGCUCACGAGGCGUAAACAACAAAGAAGAAAUGCGAGAGCUGUAUCGAGUGUUGCUUUGGAGCGGCUGUUUUCGAAUGGCGGGCACAAGACGCUGAACGGUAUACGCACCGUCGAAGGCCCUCGAGGUGGGAUAUCACGGGCAGCAUGCAACCCGGUCAAAUUUACCAACGCUUCACACCGCCGUUCGCUUAGUGGCAUAUUGUGUGUGCGAACAGAAACUGACAGGUGCAAAAUACGCUGUGGCGGCAAAAACAGUUGCCGUGCUGUCCGCUCGGCUUCGCGAGGCUCUGCAAGCUAUAGGAGCCCGUUUCGGCAUCGAUAUUAAGAAGACACCGUGCAGCCAGCCCCUUGCGGUUACUACGACGUAAUAUUCGAGCCUUAUACGGCUUCGGAGUGCCCGAGCAGCUGUGGCUUCUCUCGGUGCUGCCACUGCAGCCCACACAUGCACGGUAGACUCUGUUUCGAUGCCGCAGACACUUGUCCUCGACAGCCAAACCUUCACGCUGUUUGACAUGCAAGCACAAUGGCGAAGCGUCCGGCGAAAACAUCUAUCUUUGCAAUAAACAAGAAUGUCGUGUCACGUCUGCUACCGGCUUCAUCCGCUUGCAGGUAUAUAGGGGCAUCUAUAGCGGCAUAUAUCGAUCAGAGUGCAUGGCUAUAUUAACUGCACCAACAAGCGGAUAACAGGUUAGAACAAGACCAGGAGUAGAAUUCACAAAGUUUCGUUCUUAAGUGCUCUUUGCCAUUGGCCUGUCACCUUCGCUAGCUACAAAUAUACUGACAACAUCACGAUUCGCUGGAAUCUGCUCUUACGAUCGAACUUCUAUAGCGUAAUAAUUAACUUUUUUUUUUUUUUUUUUUUUGUCGGAGGGAAGACACGUGCACGCACUAUGGAAGGAAUCCCGUCGAGUAAACUUCGGUAUCGCAACGAAACUUCGCCAUAUUGUUGCUGCCCUGUCUGAACAUCGAACAACGUUGGACUCGCUGCACCUCACUGACUCAGCUUCAAGCGGCCACCUUGAGUCUCGCGCUCGUCAAGUACGCUUGUGCUUCACAUGGACGGAUGAUCCACCGCGUAGUGACCGUGCAGUCAUGUCCCACACAGCUCGCCAGUGACAAAUGAUUAUACCCGAAAUGUGUUUCAUUAUUUUUUUUUCUUCACAGCAGCUCGGAGAUCGCCGUUAAAUCGUGUGUAAUAAAGAUAUACCUCAAACCUUCA